UCCGUGGGCGGGCAAUUAAGUCAGAGGUGAAAUCCCACAGCUCAACUGUGGAACUGCCUUUGAUACUGGUUGUCUUGAGUUACAGUGAAGUAGAUAGAAUAUGUAGUGUAGCGGUGAAAUGCAUAGAUAUUACAUAGAAUACCGAUUGCGAAGGCAGUCUACUAACUGUAUACUGACGCUAAUGGACGAAAGCGUGGGGAGCGAACAGGAUUAGAUACCCUGGUAGUCC
rnacentral:rRNA from 1 species